AUGCCUGCAAACCCUAUAGAGACACUGCCAGCUUACUCCUGGGUUUCCACCCCAUGACUCCGCAAUUAUUCCUUCCCCCUCAUGGCUGGAGCCAGGCCAUCCUCACCAGCAGGUUUAGCAAUGUGCUCCGUCCUCAGAAUCAAUUUUAGUGUGAGGUAGGAAGCAUUAGGCCAGUUUCCUAAGGUGAUGUUCUACAUAGAUAGAUAGAUAGGUAGAUAGACAGAUGAUAGAUAGAUACCAGAUGAAUGAUAGAUGAUGGAUAGAUAGAUAGAUGAUAGAUAGAUAGAUACCAUAUGAACAAUAAUGAUGGAUAGAUAGAUAGAUGGAUAGAUAGGUAGAUGGAUAGAUAGGUAGAUAGAUAGAAAGGUAGAUGGAGAGAUAGAUAGGUAGAUAGAUAGAUGAUAGAUAGAUACCAGAUGAAUGAUAGAUGAUGGAUAGAUAGAUAGAUGGAUAGAUAGACAGACAUAGAUAGGUAGAAAGGUGAGGAUAUGUGUAUGUACAUUUUGCUGCUUGCUGCUAGUUUGCCCUGAUGCUGUGGUACCCCAGGUACACUAAGCAAGCUUCUCUCUUAGCCUUACUUUAAGGUGCCCGUCUAGGAUCUCAGGGCCCUGCUAGUUCUGGGUCUCUACUUGGAUCUCAUUAGGCCUUCUCCAAGGACCAGAGCUUGCAGCCUGCUGACUGUCCUAUGUACUGACUCCUGACCAGGAAACUUCCAGUACUGCACACCAGAGCACCUUCCUUUCAUGAGCA